rnacentral:rRNA from 1 species
AACGAACGCUGGCGGCAGGCCUGACACAUGCAAGUCGAACGCCCCGCAAGGGGAGUGGCAGACGGGCGAGUAACACGGGGGAACCUUCCCUGUAGUACGGAAUAGCCCAGGGAAACUUGGAGUAAUACCGUAUACGCCCGAGAGGGGAAAGAAUUUCGCUAUAGGAUGGGCCCGCGUAGGAUUAGCUAGUUGGUGAGGUAAUGGCUCACCAAGGCGACGAUCCUUAGCUGGUUUGAGAGAACGACCAGCCACACUGGGACUGAGACACGGCCCAGACUCCUACGGGAGGCAGCUGUGGGGAGUAUUAGACAAUGGGCGCAAGCCUGAUCCAGCCAUGCCGCGUGGGUGAUGAAGGACUUAGGGUUGUAAAGCUCUUUUGGCGGGGACGAUAAUGACGGUACCCGCAGAAUAAGUCCCGGCUAACUUCGUGCCAGCAGCCGCGGUAACAC